AGUGGAAUUGUUGGGUUAUACAGUAAUAUUAUGUUUAACUUUUUGAGAAAUUACCAAACUAUUUUCCAAAAGGGCUAUACUGUUUUACAUUCCUACUAACAAU
rnacentral:pre_miRNA from 2 species